rnacentral:tmRNA from 1 species
GGGGGCGAAAGGAUUCGACGGAGGUCGUGAGGCGCGAGUGGCAUGCCGAGAUUCCAUCAACCUCGAAAAACGGUGGACCAAAUAAGUGCAGAAGCACUCCCUCUCGCUGCCUAAGAAUUAGGUCAGCCGUCUCUCAGGCUCUCGCCUGCGGGGCUUGAAGAGGCGUCGAGGAGCAGGCUAACUUCCCCAGGUUGCCUUGGGCUGGGGGGGUGAAACCAGAACUGAGGCUGGCUGAGCGUGGCCUGGCCUCUUCAGACCGCGUUCAGCGAGAUUAAAGAAGAGGCUGAGCAUGGAGACACUUCGCGCUGAAGGUCUUCGGACGCGGGUUCGAUUCCCGCCGCCUCCACCA